rnacentral:tRNA from 1 species
GGUAUGAACGUAAUAUUCCGGCCUUUCACGCCGGUAACACGGGUUCGAAACCCGU